CAUUAGAUGACUGAAAAUGAAAGUAUUGGUCUCUUAAACCAAAUUAUAGUAAUUACAAUUACUUCUGAUGA
rnacentral:tRNA from 1 species